GUGCUGAUCACCAAGGCCCUUUUUCCUGGCCUGGUAUGCGUGUGAUUAUGUUUGUCCCGGUUCCUGUGUAUUAGACAUGGAAGCCUCCCCUGCCACACUCCACCCCCAAUCUUCCUUUCCCUUCCGGCAGGGAGUGCCCUCUCCAUAAGACGCUUACGUUUGGACAAUCAAGGUGCACAGUUGUAAGUGACCACAGGCAUACACCUUGGACAUUAAUGUGCAUAACCACUUUGCCCAUUCCAUCUGAAUAAGGUCCUACUCUCAGACCCCUUUUGCAGUACAGUAGGUGUGCUGAUAACCAAGGCCCCUCUUCCUGGCCUGUUAACGUAUGUGAUUAUAUUUGUCUGGGUUCCAGUGUAUAAGACAUGGAAGCCUCCCCUGCCCCACCCCACCCUCAAUCUUCCUUUCCCUUCUGGCAGGGAGUGCCAGCUCCAUAAGAACCUUACAUUUGGACAGUCAAGGUGCACAAUUGUAAGUGACCACAACCAUGCAUCUUGGA
rnacentral:lncRNA from 1 species